rnacentral:rRNA from 1 species
UACGGGGGGGGCAAGCGUUGUUCGGAAUUACUGGGCGUAAAGGGCGCGUAGGCGGUUUGUUAAGUUGGAUGUGAAAACUCUGGGCUUAACCCAGAGCCUGCAUCCAAAACUAGCAAGCUAGAGUUCUGGAGGGGAUAGCGGAAUUCCUGGUGUAGCGGUGAAAUGCGUAGAGAUCAGGAAGAACACCGGUGGCGAAAGCGCUCUGCUAGGCCGCAACUGACACUCAUGGACGAAAGCUAGGGGAGCGAAUGGG